GUGGGGCAAACCACAGUCGAUGACGUCGCGUGCGAGUCAUCGCUCAGCAACGUCGCGGCAGACUCCAAGUAUCGCGCCGCGCCGAACUUCGCGCUCUCUAUCCAUGCGGCGGGCGGAUUUCGCCGGUUCUAAUCGUGAAACUCGUGCUAACCGACGCGACGACGACGCGCAUUUGUUUGCAUUUACAGCGCUUCGUUUUUCUACAACGAUAAUGUCCCGAGGAUAAAUAAAUAAUUUUCCUUGACGAUCAAAGAUUGAGGUGGAAUUCUCCUCAAAGGAAAAAUUAUUUCAAUCGAUAAAUAUAAAUAUUAUCGUAAAUAAUUUUGAUUAUGUUUUUUUCGUAUUUUCCCGUCACCAGGUGUUAAUUAAUUACAAGUUGACUUAGUCAAGAGCAGUAAAAUUGAUGUCUACAAGUCAACAACGAUAGGAAAAGUACAAUCGACAUCAACGCAAAAGAGAUUGUAUCUGCAACUUAUACAAAGAAGGCACGGUUGGUUGAAAGUUUCAAUGUGUGUAGUUGAGCUGACGUCAUUAAAUUGCACAAUGCUCAGCUCUCGCUGUUCACGCUUGGAGCAUGUGAGAUAAAGUUCAAUUAGAUGUGUCAUUAAAUUUUUCAACUUACCGUUGAAUGACGCCAAUAAUAAAUAAGUUGGUGAAUG